GCCAGAGUGGUGUAAUGUUCUGAGUGUUGGACUAUGGUUCUGGAGACCAGGGUUCAAAUCCCUGCUGAGCCA